GAUGAAGAACGUAGCGAAAUGCGAUAAGUAAUGUGAAUUGCAGAAUUCAGUGAAUCAUCGAAUCUUUGAACGCACAUUGCGCCCCUUGGUAUUCCAUGGGGCAUGCCUGUUCGAGCGUCAUUUGUACCUUCAAGCUCUGCUUGGUGUUGGGUGUUUGUCUCGCCUCUGCGUGUAGACUCGCCUCAAAAUAAUUGGCAGCCGGCGUAUUGAUUUCGGAGCGCAGUACAUCUCGCGCUUUGCACUCAUAACGACGACGUCCAAAAGUACAUUUUUACACUCUUGACCUCGGAUCAGGUAGGGAUACCCGCUGAACUUAAGCAUAUCAAUAAGCGGAGGA
rnacentral:misc_RNA from 1 species